CGCACUAAGACUACAAAUCCCAUAAUGCCGUGCGCCAGCCUCUGUAACGGCGAGCCCGGAGAAUUUGAAAGUUAGGACUCUUAGUACGUGAUUUCCGUGCCUGAGGUCUUAUUACCUAGCCCAGGUAGACCUCAAACUCGUGAACUUCCAUUCUCGGCCACCAGUAAUUGGAAUUAUAGGCGUGGACCACUAAAGCCAUGGAGGUACAGAAGUACUUUUUCCCCACUAAGUACUAAUUUUAACAAGUAGUUAAACAAG